AAACGUCUAUACCACGUUGAAUGCGCCGGUUUUCGUCCGAUCACCGCCGUUAAGCGGCGUCGGGAACGGUCAGUACUUCGAUGGGCGACCGCUUGGGAACACCGCGUGAUGUU